ensembl:lncRNA
AUGGAAAUCUCCAGGAGAGGCAGAGGCAGAAGUCUUUCCAUUGAGGCACCAGCUGUCUGCAUCUCAGGAGUGGUCAGUGGACAGCUCUUAGAACUGGGGGAGCCUGUGUUGACCAGAUUUUCAAGUCAGUCUCUUCUGGUGAGUUUGGAAUCCAUAUUGAUGUCCAUCUAUAUACUUUUGCCUUUUGUACAAUCUUUUUAAUUAAGCAAAUAGUAGCUCUUAAAAUGUUCUGUUACUGAAAGUUAUUUCUUUGGUGUCAGUAUUAAGAAAUAUUCAAGGUUUUGUAUAGGUUUGUGUAUGAAGCUUUCUUGGGAUAAUCAGCCAAAUUUUUUUUUUUUUAAAUCACUAUGAAGUAGAGGUAGUAUUUGCCUGGGAUCUGUUUAAAUAGUUCUCUCUGGAAAAUGUUUUACCCACAAGUUUAUUUUUCUUGGUUUUUAUUUUUCUUUCUUUCUUUUUAAAUUCAGCUCUCUGAUUGCUGUUCCACCCAAGAGUUUCUGAUUCAUCACAUCUGGGAGCAAGGCCUGAGACUCUGCAUUUCUAGUAAGUCCUCAGGUAUUGCUGCUGCUCUAAGGACACACUCUGAGAACCACUGGUCCUCCUGCUCACAGUCUAAGGAUGUUCUCUGAGAACCACUGGUCUAGCUUGUCCCUGGUGGGGUGGAGAAGCUUUCUGAGACUUGACGGGAGGGUCCUUCCUAUAGGCAGAGGCCUAGGAUGACCCCAUAGCAAGAAUGGGUCCAUACUGCCCCAGAUUCUGCCAUACUGGGUUUCAGAUUUCUUUCUCUUCCUGUUAAUAGUGCUUAUAAUGUGGGUUGAGGAGGCAGUGCUCCCAUGAAAGGAAAUCAGAUUGCUUUCUGAACUAGCUGAGCUACAAAAACUAGACUGUCCCAUUGGUAAGCUGGAAGAAGAGAGAAUGUUCCAGGCCAUCUAUCUGAUACAUCAGCACAGAGUCUGCCCUUUGUGGUUUAUUUUCCCCUGUGGUGGCCCUGAGCUGCAAGGAAGAGAGUAGAAACUGGACAUCCAUGGGCCCUGGUGACAAGGAGGGGAGGUGCAAGGACUUGGGUUAAGGAUUAUGAUUGUGACUUGCCUAUAUCACUCGCAGCAAGGUCAAGGUGACUUUUAAAAGUUAUUUUACAGUGUCCUACUUUACUUUUUUCUCAGUUUGAUUUCUCUACCUGAGAUAUCCUCUGAAGCUAUGUCUAACUUUACCUCAUUUCUCUUCCAAAUUAAUCCAUUACCUUUGUGUAUUCUGAUGUUCCUAUAAUUCUUUGUUUAAUGUCUGCUGCUUCCCAGGUGUUGCUAGUGGUAGAGAACCCGCGUGCCAAUGCAGGAGGUGUAAGACACACCAGUUCAAUCCCUAGGUCCAGAAGAUCCCCUGGAGUGGGGCAUGGCAAUCCACUCCAGUAGUCUUGCCCGGAAAAUUUCAUGGACAGAGGAGCUCGGCGGGCUACAGUCCAUAGGGUUGCAAAGAGUUGGACACCACUGAAGCGACUGAGCACGCAGGCGAUGUCUACUGCACUGCAGGCAUACUCUUUACCGUUUGAGCCCCCAGGGAAGCUCAAUUUGUACACCUGUCUAAAAAACCUGGAACCUGCUUUGAUGUUGGGAUAAAAUAAGCUAGUACAUCAUUGGCUCUUGUAUUUCCGGGAAUAUUUAGUAAACAAUAAAGUGUUUUUUAAAA